UACGUAGGUGGCAAGCGUUGUCCGGAUUUACUGGGCGUAAAGGGUGUGCAGGCGGGCUGUUAAGUGGUGUAUGAAAUCGCCCGGCUCAACCGGGCUAGGUUAUGCCAGACUGGCAGUCUAGAGAGCGAGAGAGGGACGUGGAAUUCCGGGUGUAGUGGUGAAAUGCGUAGAGAUCCGGAGGAACCCCAGAGGCGAAGGCGGCGUCCUGGCUCGCAUCUGACGCUCAGACACGACAGCAUGGGGAGCGAACAGG
rnacentral:rRNA from 1 species